UAUCCGAUCUCUUUCGAUUCCAGUUCUAUCCCCUAUCCCGUUUUAUCCAUCGCUUUCCCUCAAUCGAUUAUAUAUGGCGACGGGGAGCGGCUGACCAGCGGCGGCGAAGAUAGUAUGGAACGAGAGACAGAAAAUGUUUGAAACAGAGGAAAUUUUGUUCCUCAUAGGAAAGCGGGAGGCAGACAUUAGAGGUUGAUUAUACCCUAUUUGUUUUAUCGAUGAAGGAAUCCUGAAAACAACCACACACCUUCACUAAGAAUGUCGAUUUCUCUCACUUUGACGAAAUAGCCAAUUGAGCACCGCCAUCACCACCGUCUGCUUCGGUUCGUUACGUUUUCCUCUUCCAUGUUUCUAUUCAGCCACCACUUUCCCCAACCCACCUCUCCUGCUACGCACUCUGAUUUCUUUCCAGAAACCUCAUCGCAUCGGCGGCAAAAUCGACCCGUCGUACGCCACUGGGGCACCAGUGAUUGCAUGAGUGAUGGUCGCCGAUGUUGGUGGUGUAGUCGAUGAAGUAUUCUAUAACGUAGCCGGCGCCAUCUUGCAACAUAUGCUGCUCCCACAAACCGAAGAGCAUCGACGCCAUGGCAUCCCGGAUUAGACGAUCCUCUAUUUCUCAGCCGGGUACAAGCCGAUGUUGGCUAAUUCCUAAUCGAUGAUCCUACCCCUCUCUCACUUCAGCAUCGCCCCUUCUCUACCGCCUCCUUCAUCGUUACAAAUGCUUCAAGUCUCCACCGCUGUACAAAUGUUUUAAAAUUGAUCGACACCAACUUCGUUCUUUCUCUGGAAAGCCUUCGACACUAAUAGGUAGGAGGAUCUCCAUUAAACACCGGCCCUCCACUAUGUCUCCACCGCUCCAUCUCUUACCUUCUUCAUUCAUCUAUAUUUUUUCUUUUUUUUCUAACUAUACAUUCGUCUUUCUCUCUUCUCUCUAAGAUGCUUUGCUCACUGAAACUGGAAAUGGACUAUUGUUCAACAACCUGGAUGUGAAGUUUGGAGCUUAUAACUGUGAUAAGUUUCGACUCCUUGCUAAAAUCAAUUUACCGUUUGCUGGAACUUAAGAUUUUAAUGAUUUUCUUUCAUAAUAGAUGCUUCAAUUGGUUUUCUCAGUUAAACCCUAACCUUUUAAUUUUUUACAGUACGUUUUGUUUUUUCCACAAUACGCUUUCUUUUGGUUUCAAUCG